rnacentral:piRNA from 2 species
UGCAACAUGGACCCUCGUAGAAGACACUU